GCCGCUCCCCUACCCCGGCCCGUCACUUUUCUUGGCUUAGGCUUCCAACUGAACUCACCUUCGGUGCCUUGCCGCCGCAGAAGCUAAGCGCUUGAAAAGCGCGCUAAGAAACGUUGCUUCUGUCGGCCUUUCUGUGCAAUAGUCCGCCAGUAGCGGAAGAGAGGGUUACCGUACAUACAAGAGUCUUCCCGUUUUGCGUAAGCUUUUUAUUACCAGUAAAGUAGUACAACAGCUGUAUCUUAUAGCCGCGGGUCGCCUUUUGAAAAUCGUAGAUAGAAGAAACUAUUAGAUAGAUAAGGAGUAGGUGAGGACUCACUGACCUGAGCGAUUUCGAUCACCUAGCAGGCCUUUAAUUUGGUAGGUAACAUCGCCGAAGCGUAUUAUCUGAUUUUACUACGAAGGAAGGAACUCGAAGUGAGACGGCACCGUCUUGUCCAACGCAACGAUAUGGCCCUCUAUCAUCUUCUAUCCGGUAGACUUGGUAAAAGGGCCCCAACUUUUUUCCAGAAUUAGAGUUCGACCGCGGCUGCCCCCUUUUUUUCCGCACCAAUCCUUAUUUACUACUAUAUGUUUGUUUUUGGGGUGUAUAGCUCAGUUGGUAGAGCAUUGGGCUUUUAACCUAAUGGUCGCAGGUUCAAGUCCUGCUAUACCCAAACCUACC
rnacentral:tRNA from 1 species